rnacentral:rRNA from 1 species
UACGUAGGCAGCAAGCGUUGUUCGGAAUUACUGGGCGUAAAGGGUGCGUAGGCGGUGCUCUAAGUUUGGUGUGAAAUCUCCCGGCUCAACUGGGAGGGUGCGCCGGAAACUGGAGUGCUGGAGUGUGGGAGAGGAAAGCGGAAUUCCUGGUGUAGCGGUGAAAUGCGUAGAGAUCAGGAGGAACACCUGCGGUGUAGACGGCUUUCUGGACCAUAACUGACGCUGAGGCACGAAAGCGUGGGUAGCAAACA